GGUCAUGGGCCUUUUUCUUUCUUUGUUUGCCAUGUUAUCUCCAACAUCUGGAACAGAGUCUGGCACAAAGCUUUUUUACUGCAGGGCUUCCGUGAAUUUGGAGAUUUUUCUGAGCUGGGAGAACCAAGAUUUUCAGAGAGGCAAGGCUAAGCACCAGCCAGGUCCUCCAUCUUCCAACCCCAAAAUUCAUCCAGAAUGUACCAGGAUGGGGCCUAGAAGUCAACUUCAAACUUUGAUCUUCAAUCCUACAAAGAAUGAUCAUCUCAGAAAACUUAGGGCAAAAGUAAAUAUGCAUGGAUUUACAAA
rnacentral:lncRNA from 10 species